UACGUAGGGCGCAAGCGUUGUCCGGAAUUAUUGGGCGUAAAGAGCUCGUAGGCGGUCUGUCGCGUCGGCUGUGAAAACCCGAGGCUCAACCUCGGGCCUGCAGUCGAUACGGGCAGACUAGAGUGCUGUAGGGGAGACUGGAAUUCCUGGUGUAGCGGUGAAAUGCGCAGAUAUCAGGAGGAACACCGGUGGCGAAGGCGGGUCUCUGGGCAGUAACUGACGCUGAGGAGCGAAAGCGUGGGGAGCAAACAGG
rnacentral:rRNA from 1 species